UCUGGCAGUGAUGACACCCUUGCCCUCACUGAGAACAUUGUUCCAUAAUGAGAAUCUUGUUUGGACUCAAAUAAGCUGAGCUGGA